rnacentral:ncRNA from 1 species
GUUUGGUCCUAGCUUUAUCAUCAACUAUAACUAAACUUACACAUGCAAGUAUCCGCACCCCCGUGAGAAUGCCCUUAGCCCUCGUUCAGGAUAAAGGAGCUGGUAUCAGGCACACCCUCUGUAGCCCAAGACACCUUGUUCAGCCACGUCCCCAAGGAAAACCAGCAGUGAUAAACAUUAAGCCAUUAGUGAAAACUUGACUUAGUUAAAGUUAAAAGGGCCGGUCAAACUCGUGCCAGCCACCGCGGUUAUACAAGAGACUCAAGUUGAUGACAAACGGCGUAAAGAGUGGUUAAGAAGGCCCCAAACUAAAGCCAAAUUUUCUCCUCGCUGUUAUACGCACCCGAGACAUAAGAAGUACUAUUACGAAAGUAGCUUUACAUAAUCUGACCCCACGAAAGCUAUGGUACAAACUGAGAUUAGAUACCUCACUAUGCAUAGCCAUAAACAAUAAUAGACCCUAAUAUUCCUAUUCGCCUGGGAAUUACGAGCCUCAGCUUAAAACCCAAAGGACUUGGCGGUGCUUAAAACCCACCUAGAGGAGCCUGUUCUAUAACCGAUAAUCCCCGUUAAACCUCACCCCUUCUUGCUUUUCCCGUCUAUAUACCGCCGUCGUCAGCUUACCCCUAAGGGUUCAACAGUAGGCAAAAUUGGUCCCCCCCCCAAAACGUCAGGUCGAGGUGUAGCGAAUGAAGGGGGAAGAAAUGGGCUACAUUCUCUAAUUCUAGCAGAUACGAAAAAUGAACUGAAAACACAUUUGAAGACGGAUUUAGAAGUAAAUAGAAAAUAGAGUGUUCUAUUGAAACCGGCCCUAAAGCGCGUACACACCGCCCGUCACUCUCCCCAAACAAUCAAACAUCCUAACUAAAACACUAUUAGCCAAAGAGGGGAGACAAGUCGUAACAUGGUAAGUGUACCGGAAGGUGCACUUGGAUAAU